AUAAUUAAGGUUAAAUGAGGUCUUGAGGGUGGGGCCCUAAUCCAAUAAGAUUGGUGACCUUUUAAGAAAGAAGAGAUGAAGAUCUCUCACUCUCUCCAUGUGCACACACCAAGGAAAGCAAGAAGAUAGCCAUGGGCAAGAUUGGAGAGGG